GUAUUUAUGAUUUCAAGAGAGUUAAAAUAUAAUAUCUCCAAAUUUAGGAAUCUAAAUUUCGGGGUGCCACAGUCCACUCUUUAACUUCCACCAAAAAAAUAAAUAAUUUUAUAAUAAAUAGCAAAUAAAUCCAAGAUUAUUGACUAACAUAUUUUUCAUUAAAGAUAAAUUACUCAAGAUUUAAAAAAUAAACAUAGAUAGAAUAUUCAAAAUUACUCUAUAGAUUUUAAACCAAGCAUUCACACAAUAAUUUUAUUUUGCUCGUAAACUAUUCAAAACUCUAUUUUCCUCUCAUAAUGAUUGCCAAACAAGGAUUAAUUAGUAGAAUUCCUCUAAAGCGAAAGAUUGAGAUCCAAUCCCGUGUCUCCACCUUGAUCUUCAUCUUUAGGCUCCUCUUCCUUUUUCCCCUUUGAAUGGCCGCUGGAAUCUAAUUGAGCUGUAAAAUUCAGAGGCGUUUGCGGCGGAUCAUCCAUGAAAUCUUCUGGUUGAAACAACGGAUUCCAAGCCACCACGGGCGCCG
rnacentral:lncRNA from 1 species